UAUAUUAUGCUAGUUUAACAUUUGUCAAUUGUACAGUUUUGCCGGUCAUUAUCCCGUCAUGGUCAACUGGUAAAAACCUUCCAUGGAGUAAAAGUAUAUAUUGACAAAUUUGCACCAAUAACCCACGUCAUAUUCUAAUCCAAUAUUUUGAUUUGGAACCUUUCAUUUUCAGCCGUCUCUCUCUCUUUUCUUUGGUUGUAGGCUUAUCAGCAUUUUUAGGACAUUUUGUAUUCUGACACGCAUGUAUAUGAAUUCCAUAUUUUCAAAAGGGCUCGAGAUGCUUAGUGGGUUUUCCCAAUUUAGAUUAGACCUUAGUGGUUCUUACUCAGAAGGUGUCUCCGUCCACUUCUUGUGCUGGUAUCUCUCUGUUUGGGUAGAACACUCUUUUCGAUGUAUUUUGACAAAUUGUUUAGCCGCCCGUUCAUCUUCAGCGCAAGAGCACCCAUCAGUAAGCUAUCACGCAAUCUUGAAAGAGUGGUUGUUUUUUCUCUAGGAACCCUUAAAUUCACUCAAUAUUUGAGAUUGGUGAAUCUUCAACACAUUCUAAACCUAAUGUGCAAGCUUCCUCUUCUUCUUCGGGAAUAGCUCAACAACAACUGAAAAAGCUUCGACAGCAGAUUGCAACAAUUGGGGCUACCCUAGGGACGACACCUCCUGCUUCUUAGUGUCCUCACGUAAUGCCUUGAUCGCAUAGUAGCAAUUGAAAAGGCUUCGACAGCAGAUUGCAACAAUUGGGGCUAUCCUAGGGACGACAUCCAACACUCUUGUAUCGAUGUAUUCUGAGAAUCUGGUAACUUCGUUCCCUACUUUAUCUUCUUCCUAUGUGAAUGAGAAUGCUAGUUCAACCACACUUGAAGCUAUUGUCCAAUCAGGUAUAUCUUAGCCCUUUAGUCUCAUUAGUAUUAGUGGUAAGAAUCCUUGGAUCCUAGACUUUGGUAACACAAUGAUAGAAAUAAAACAUACACCGCAGAAAUCAAAUCAAGAUUCUACCCUAAUUGCACUUAAUUAACAUGAAACCUUAAAUCGUAAAUUAAUUUGAAAUUAAGUUUUUUUAAGGAAACUUACAUUUGAAGCUCUGAUUGUUGCUUGAACCACCGUUAGGAUUCUGCUAUCCUCCAGACUCGAAAUUGGGUUGGACACAUUAGAUGAAAGAACCGAGAGCGAGAAAGAGAUGGAAAUGGAAUUAUGGAAUAGGGUUGGGCCAGUAUAUUUUGAUUUAAAAAAUUACAAUGGAAAAACUAGUACUCAAAUUUUUGUCUUAAAAAAUUCCAACUCUUUAUAAAAGACCCAAGUGUCUAAUUUAUAGUGAAUUUACAUGCAAAGUUGUAUGUAGAUGCAAGUUCAUGGACCAACAACACAUAACCCACUAACAAUUAGUGGACUUAAUGUUUUCAUAGUGUGGCAACACCUAGUCCACUAUAGUUAAUGGAUUAUCUAUUAAAAUGUUGGAUUUUUCCCUUAAUUUUUGUCGAAGGGCAAUAAUUUCAUUUGGUUAAAGUUGAACUUUAUCUUUUUAAACCAAAAGUCAACAUUUUGACUCUUUAUAAUUUUGGCCAUCUGGGCUAAUUUCGACCUCCCGAGCAUGAAUCUGAAUUCAUCUUCUCAAGAUUCAAAUCACAUUUGAAUAUAUUGUCGGUCAAGAUUUGACUUUUCACGACUUUGACUAUUUUCAUCAUUUUCGAGCUUUCGAGUGUGAAUCCACAUUUAUAUCUUUAAAUGUAGUAACUCAAACUAAACUAAUCUACACUCCAAACAAAAAUUGUUAUAACUCAACUAUAGUAGUGUAUGACCAUAAUAAUCGACUUCUCGUCCCAAACAUCUCGAAAGUGGUUUUACAUGGAAACUUCUUAAAUAAGUUUCGAUUAAAGAUCGAAUUCUACUAUAUAAAAUAAGAGUUGCAAACUUUCUUUUUUAUGUAGAAAGAAUAAACUCUUUAUAAGAAAAAACUCUCACAACUCAGGUGACUUGGAGUGGUUUAGUAAUCACGGUUCCAUCUAUUUGUAGUUUAAAGAAAUUUGACCUGGAAGCAUUCCAAUGACCCAAAAUUAACUUUUGAUUAGUAUGUAAGAUCUAAUACCAUGUAUUGGUCAUGAACAAAGUGUAAGAUUCAAUAACUACGAUGGUCAUCCAAGGAUUUUUUUCAUACUAUGAAUUUAUAACGUGUAGACAAGCACAUAUAGUGUGUACUAUAUUCUUGUUUAGCAAUAACCUCACUUCUACGGCAGGAAAAAAACAGAAAAAUUAUAAAAGAAUAAAAUAAAAUAAAACAAUAAUAACUAGGAACAUAAGAAUUUAGGUAAAAAAAUUCACAACUCCAAGAAAGACCAUUGACCAGCAAAAGUCCACGAUCAUACAUAAUUGUCUCUCUUAACUUCAAUUAAAAAAUUACUCUCUUAAAUAUUUUAACUAAUAAAAUUAGAGAAUAAAAAAGGAAUUUAAUUAGGGUUUUUUAUUUCUUUAGGUUGUAUGUACUUAAGUAAGUUAAGGUCUCAGAAGUUAAGGUCUCAGCUGAAAUGCGUACUUAACAUUCUCUUUUAAAACAAAUUUAGAAGAUUAAUAGUUUUAUAUGAAGAUUAUUUUAUUUAAAACUCAUGAAGAUACGAAAGGAGCUGACAAAAUAAGAAAAAAAAAAAAAAAAAAAAGAAAUCCCAAAACGUUUUUGAUGUGGUGAUGAGCAUGUGAUGUAUCGAUGGGAAA